GAUGGAACUCAAGCCGUUGUAGCACUCCCAUGCCUUCAUCAGUAACUGCUAGUGAUAAAACAAAAGAUAAAUAUCAAGCUAACAAGUUAUAUAAUCUGCAGGGCUACAAACCUUUGGUUAUCCAUCUUCUGAUGAUUAAGAACUUCAAAAGUGAAAGUUGUUUGUGUUAGUCUACCAUUUGAGUACUUCAUAAUGGAUUGCAGAUUUGCAGUAGAUGGAGUUGGAACUAAUGUGGGGUUUGAAGCAACAAUAUUAAUGGCCAGAAUUUCUUGCAUUGCUGUUGAUGAUGCAAGGUUACCAGGGUUGGCUUGUUGUCACUUGGAUGACAAGGUUUCCAAAUAGUGGCUGGCAUUAGAGUUGAAAAUUAGUGCAGGAGAUUUGGAAUUAGCAUACAUGAUUUGGUAGUAGCGAACAGUAUCAGUAAUUAUUUGAAGAUUAUUCUCGUGAGACUCUGUCCACAUGUUACAUAUCCAUGUCCACCGGUUCUCAUUCUGUUGUGAUCUUAACAAAGAAAGUCAUAUGCUGAGGCUUUAACUUAAUGCUGCACUCACAAGCUACACACAAGACACAGUCGAUAAGUUGCCUGGUUUGCUCUUUUCCUACCUAUUCUCAUGUUCUUGGAAACACUGCCUUCUUUCUUUUGCUGUACUUAGUGAACUUUUCUUGUUGUAGUUUUUGAAAACCAGUAAAGAACUGAAGAUAAAACAUCAUUACCUUUUAUUGCAUU
rnacentral:lncRNA from 1 species